UUUAAAGCAGGCUAACGCUUGAAUACAUUAGCAUGGAAUAAUGAAAUAGGACGUUCGAUCUUAUUUUAGUUGGUUUCUAAGAUUGACGUAAUGAUUAAUAGGGAUAGUUGGGGGCAUUAGUAUUCAAUUGUCAGAGGUGAAAUUCUUGGAUUUAUUGAAGACUAACUACUGCGAAAGCAUUUGCCAAGGAUGUUUUCAUUAAUCAAGAACGAAAGUUAGGGGGAUCGAAGACGAUCAGAUACCGUCGUAGUCUUAACCAUAAACUAUGCCGACUAGGGGAUCGGAUGAUGUUAAUUUUUUUAAUGACUCAUUCGGCGCCUUACG
rnacentral:rRNA from 1 species